rnacentral:rRNA from 1 species
AUACGUAGGGGGCGAGCGUUGUCCGGAAUGAUUGGGCGUAAAGGGCGCGUAGGCGGCCCGGUAAGUCUGGAGUGAAAGUCCUGUUUUUAAGAUGGGAAUUGCUUUGGAUACUGUCGGGCCUGAGUGCAGGAGAGGUAAGUGGAAUUCCCAGUGUAGCGGUGAAAUGCGUAGAGAUUGGGAGGAACACCAGUGGCGAAGGCGACUUACUGGACUGUAACUGACGCUGAGGCGCGAAAGUGUGGGGGGCAAACAGGAUUAGAUACCCUGGUAGUCCACACUGUAAACGAUGAAUGCUAGGUGUAGGGGGUAUCGACCCCUUCUGUGCCGCAGUCAACACAAUAAGCAUUCCGCCUGGGGAGUACGGCCGCAAGGUUGAAACUCAAAGGAAUUGACGGGA